ensembl:lncRNA
AGCCUGUACCAUUUAAAAAAAAAAUUUUUUUUUUAAAUUGAAGUCUAGCUGAUUUAUAAGGUUGUGCUGAUUUCCGCUCUGCUGUGAAAAGACUCAGUUAUAUAUCUCUAGAUAUUCUUGUUUAUAUUCUUUUCCAUUAUGGUUUAUCACAGGAUACUGAAUGGAGUCCCCUGUACUAGACAGUAGGACCUUGUUGCUGACCAGCGUUAAUCUGGACUCACGCACACACGAGCUCCCUGCCUCCUGGAGGGACAAGGGCGGAAGUGGGAGGCAGCAAAGCAUGACUCAUCCUGCAGGAGGGAGCCCGGAGCUCCAGACUCUUUUAAGGUUCUGUCCCUUCCGGUCCCCACUCCAGGCAGGGCAUAGGCGGGACACCCAGGGUUGACUAAGAAGAUUCUGAAAGUGUUGUCCUGCGAUGACUUCUGGUGCUGGGGCUUUGUGCCCUGUCGUCCUUGCUGGAGAGCAAUGAAAAGGUGGCAUUCAGAAGAGGGGGAUCCAGGAGGUAUUCAGUGGGUGAGGUUGGAAUAAAAUUAGUAAUGAAACGCAUAAUAACGUGUACCUGAAAUAGAAAGAGGUGUGCCCUGUAUCCAUGCCCUGGUGGGAGAGCUGCGGGCUCCCAUGAGAAUAUGUGGCCGGAGCAUCUCACCUGGACUUGUGGUCAGUUCCUGAGGAGCAGUGGGAACUGAGCCUUGAAGGGGAGUGGGUGCUGCCGCAGGUAGAAGAAAAUCCAGCAGUCUCCAGUGAUCCUUAGACAUCUUCCCACAUAUGGCAGAUUUUCUGGGAAGGUGCUUAGUAAAAAGUGGCAACAGGCUCAGGGAUGCAAGGAGAAUUUUCUUCAUAGCCUUAUCCAAGUGGUCAAACCACAGGAGGACAUCUCCUGAAAUUAUCAAGAUGCUGAUGGUGGCUGAUUGGAUGUUUGGGAAUGAUGCUAAAGCUGAAACUCCAGUAUUUUGGCCACCUCAUGCGAAGAGUUGACUCAUUGGAGAAGACUCGGAUGCUGGGAGGGAUUGGGGGCAGGAGGAGAAGGGGACGACAGAGGAUGAGAUGGCUGGAUGGCAUCACUGACUCGAUGAGCAUGAGUCUGAGUGAACUCCAGGAGCUGGUGAUGGACAGGGAGGCCUGGUGUGCUGUGAUUCAUGGGGUCGCAAAGAGUCAGACACGACUGAGCAACUGAACUGACUGAACUGAAGUUAAUACAACAAGAUAGUCAGACAGAUGUAACUUAUGGAUGUGAUAAGACACAACUCUAUUCUUGCUUUUAUUGAUGAGAUUUGUAUGGCACUUUUUGCUUGUCCUGGAUAAAUAUGAUUCACUGACAGAUAAUGGACUGAAUCCCUUGGACUGCAAGGAGAUCAAAUCAGUCAAUCCUAAAGAAAAUCAAUUCUUAAUAGUCACUGGAAGGACUGAUGCUGAAGCUGAAGCUCCAGUACUUUGGCCACCUGAAGCAAAGAGCCAACUCAUUGGAAAAGACCCUAAUGCUGGGAAAGAUUGAAGGCAGGAGGAGAAAGGGGUGACAGAGGACGAGAUGGUUGGAUGGCAUCACCGACUCAAUGGUCAUGAGUUUGAGCAAGCUCCAGGAGAUGGUGAAGGACAGGGAAGCCUGGCAUGCUGUAGUCCAUGGGGUC